CUGCAACAUGUAUUGCACUCAGACGGUCAAUCAAUCAAUCAGGUCCCGCCCUCCGAAGAGGAGCAGGUGGGGGUGAUUAAAACUUAUCAAACCUUCGGUGAAAGUGUGGACGGCUGCAACGGCGAGAGAAGCUUUGCUAACAAACAAACAAAGUGGCGGCUUAAAUGAGGAACCACAGCGGGACGUCAGUAGAUACGGUUCGUCUCCACCACAGGACUUCAGAUAAUAGUACCAGCUGGAGUCAGAGCCCCUGAGCCAAUGUGAGUUGCUACGAGGUGCGGCUGUUGCCAAGCAACAAGGUGACAUCCCUCACUGCACAGACGAUGGCAGGUUCAGACCUGUGCAGUGCAGUGUGCGGGCUCAGGAGUGUUGGUGUGUUGAUGCUGAAGGUCAGGAGCUCAUUGGGACUCGAACCAACAACUCUGCUCUUCACUGCCCGUCUCCCUGCCAGCUUCAGGCCGUCCUGCAGUGCUCUUCCUCAGGACUCUUUGAGUCAGUCCAGUGUGACCCCAGUGGGGGACAAUGUUGGUGUGUGGAUCAGGACGGCAUGGAGCUGUAUGGGACCAGACAGACCGGGAGGCCUCAC